UACGCCCGAUCUCGUCCGAUCUCAGAAGCUAAGCAGAGUUGGGCUUGGUUAGUAGUUGGAUGGGAGACUGCUUGGGAAUACCAGGUGCCGUAAGCCU
rnacentral:rRNA from 1 species